AUGCAGCCAUCAUUAUGAGACACACCUGUGCUUUCACUGCUUUGACGUAAAAUGUUUGUCGUGAGAAGUCGUUUAUGCAGGCUUGAUAGCUAAAAUAAAGUUAACUUGUUGCCAUUUAUUAAGCCGCUGCCACCUACUGAUAUAACUUACCACUAUUUCAGUGCACAAACAAGAGUGGACUUCAGGCGGUGCGCUGAACUCAGCUCCUUCCUUCAUCUGUUUCUCAAUGAACUUGCGGUAGGCGUCAGGGUCAUUUUGAGAAAGAUCAUCCAGCAUGGACCAAAAGUGGUUGACCUGCUGUAAAACAUUCCCUGCACUGCCAGUGGAGGACAUCUUAAGAUCCAGCCCAAGAAUUCGGCCACUUUGGUAUAAACUCCAGGAUGGUUGGGCUCAGCACAGCCUGUCCCCCAGCUGACGACCCCUACCAGCCUCCACACAUUUUCAUCCUGGCAAACCAGAGGACCGCCACUGUCCCCCUGGAGAGGCCACCUUGCUUAACUUCCUGUGUCAUCGCGGCUGCCUGCGUCUGACUUGACUGGCUGCAAAUCAUCACCGGGGAGACGUCACGGCUCUGAACGAUCGCCCUCUUCUCCUCGUCUCUCCAUCAAGGCUGCAAUCAGAGACAUCUACAGGGCAUCUGAACUACUGACAGCCUACCAGACUGCUGAUAUGAGAGAUGGCUUGCUGAAGUUGUCAAAUGGCUUCAUAUGACUUGACCACACUCAAGAGGACAAAAGCCUUUCCAUGUCUUUAACUGGUAUUGCUUCAACCUUCAUAUAAUGAGACAAAAUCUCCAAAGGCUGGAGAAGAAACACAAAGUGCAGUAAUCCCUCAGAAAGGGAAUAUAAACAGAAAAGCAACACAGUUCAGUGGACUCCACUCAAGAAUGAUCUGAACUUUUCAAAAGAUUUCAAGGGUCAAAUUUUGUCCUGUUGAAUAAGAUAAUUAUUCUUUGAAGUGGAGUGCAAUGUACAACAGCUAAAUAAACUUGAGCGGUAAAAAGGCUGUGUGCUGUUUGUCAGUGUGUACUCACU